rnacentral:lncRNA from 1 species
CUCUACCGCUGCCUUAGGACCCGCACCCCGGCCCUAAGCCACCUGGCAGAACCAGGGGAGCAGCGCUCAGCCUUUCUCUGGGGAGCAGGAAGGAGGAAUCUGCCUUGGUUGGGCCUUGGACAGCCACCCGGGGGUCCCAGAUCCUCAUUCGACAAGCCUCCUCGUGGCCCCCUGAGACGACAGGUGACCUGCUCCGAUUGCACCACUGCCUGCCCUGGAGACCUGCCAUCAGGCCCCUGGGGCCGAAGUCCAACUACGGGGGCGGGACAGCUCCUAAGCCCUCGGAAUCUCAUUUUACAUGUGCAUUUAGGGGGGUGCGGUGCCCCCGUCUCACGGCCCGUGGCUGGGAGCACUGAGGCCAGCAAAAUGCGCAGCGUCACAUAUUCCAUCUCUCAGAAGGAACUCUCAGACUCCUGGGGACGAGUGCACAGCGUGACUUGACUUCAUUCGUGAAGCUCUCAUGUCCCUCCAAGUCCCCACGGCCCAGGUUUCCUUCGAUUCUGCGAAGUCCGUCUCUCCAGGGGCACAGCCAGAAGAGCAGGAGCCCUUUGACUUGCAGGUGCCUGGCAGUCAGUGACAUCACAGCGUGAAGCCUCUCCCCAGCAGGUGAGGCCAGUGUAAAGGACCCAGUGAGCCCAGGCUCAGACAUGCCUCCCGCCUUUGCCUUUCCCAUGAAAA